ensembl:lncRNA
CAGGCACACAGCUGCAGGAGGCACAGCUGAGGAAGCAAGAGGAGGUGUUGGAGGUCCGUGUGUGCGUUUGUCACCUCACACGCUGAGCCUGAGGAGAGCUGACGGUGUCACUGCGACAGGGAGCUGAGUGUGUGUGUGUGAGGCUGAAGUGAAGCUUCGCUCGCUGGUCACGAGGAGUUGCUGCUGUUGUGUCUGUUGCUCCUUUUUCCUCUUCCUGAGACGUCUGUGCUGCACGCGCGGGCGAGCGACUGCCGCCGUGUGUCGUCCCCUCGCUCGCUCUCUCCGUCUUUUCCUCCCUCCUUCGUCUCCACCUUCAGCCGGCUUCUUUGCCGUAACUGUGCCGGGGAGAGACAGCCGGGUAUCAUCAGAAUCUCCUCGACCUCAUCGAAUCCAUCGUUACCAAAAAAGCCGCAGGCCUGAGCCUUCCUGGCGGCUUUACUGACCUGCCUGCUAAUCAGCAGCCCCGCCGGAGGCCGGGACUCUGAGGACACCAAAGACAGAAGACGUCUCGGCUGAUCUGGAUGCUCUUUGUUUCUGUCAUUUCCUGUUUCCACACUGACGCCGAUCUGCAGCCUGGACACGGUGGAUGUAAAAGAAACCACGCCGCUCUUUUCUCGACACAAUUCUUCGCGAUGUCGCCUCGCAGGAGGUGACGUGUGGCUCCUCCUAACAUGUAGCCAGGACGACCUGAAGAGCCCUCCCACAAACUUUCCUUCAAACAGGCCGAUCGCUGCCGGAUGAGUGAACGCUCACUCCCACAAAACACAAACUGAGACGCUGAGCGAGGGUUCAUAAAGUGCUACCGGCUCAUUAUCAGCCACGGCGCUUCCUAUUUUCAUCUUUAAUCUUUGUAUUCUGAGUAAUCAUCUUUUUAAUUAAUGGUGACGGCGGCAUGAAAUCUUCCCCACCGCCCUCCUUUUCUCCCGGUGCCACCUGAAACCAAUUAGCAACAGCAGAUCUAGAUGGGGAUUAGACACGGGGGGAGCAGCCGCGAUUAGACACAAACACAACGACAGAAGAAGAGAGCCUGAGAACAAAGCCGGAGGCGGGGUUAGGGAGGGGCCCGCCGUCCAUUCUGGGUGAUCGAUAGAAGGGAGGAGUAGAUAUGGAUACGGCCGGAUUGGGGAGGCAACCCUCAGCAGACGCAACAGCCAGGUGUGAGUCAGCAGGUGGAGUCGAUUGUCAGUGCCCAGAGUCGUGACUGACAGGAGCUCCGGCCGCCCGGGACUCUUUGUCAUUCCCUGCACGGAGCGGCAGAGCACGAGGAGAGACUCCUGGCUCGUCUCCACAAUCAGG